GAAUACACUGAACCUUAUAGAAGAGAAACUGGGCAAUAACCUUGAACUCCUUAGCAAAAGAAAAGACUUUCUGAACAUAACACCAUUAACACAGGCACUAAAAUCAACAACUAAUAAAUGGGGUCUCAUAAUACUGAGAGGCUUCUGGAAAGCAAAGGACACCGUCAUUCAGACAAAGUGGCAGCCUACAGAAUAGGGAAACGUUUCUCCAACUAUACAUCCAUUAGAGGGCUAAUAUCCAAAAUAUAAAGAACUCAAGAAACUAGAUAUCACGAAAACAAACCACCCAGGUGAGUUCCUGCUUACAUUCUAUGUUCUAGCGUCUUUGGUACACGAAGCUAUUCUGCCCACUACCAAAAGAGAAAUGCAAACACCAGCCCAGCCACAGACUUUUUAUCUACCGUGGUGUCUUACCUGUAAGAUAUGCUAGGGCAAUGGUGGUACAAAGCUUGUGGGAGUAGCCAAUCAAUAGCUGAUUUGACUUAAGACCCACACCACAAAAUAGAACCCAUAUCUGACACUGCUUGGGUAACCAAGAACCCGAGACUAGCCCAGGGAAUUAGUGGUAAACAAAAAACUACUGUUCUAAAACAAAAACAAAAAACCCAAGCCAAACCAAAGCAUGGCAAUAAAAUGACUCCUUAAUGAUAUUUCUCUAUACUCAUAGAUCAGUGCCUCAUUUAGCUCUCACCAGAGAGACUUCCUUCUGCAGCAGAUGAGAACAAAUACAGAGAUCCAUCGGCCAGACAUGAUGCAGAGAGUGAGAGACCUUGGAACACUGGAAACCAUGGAAAACCUGGAGGACUGUCUUUGGUCCACUGAAGUUACAUUGAAGAUACUCAUUGUCCAAGCAGGAGCUUACUCUCUGUCACGAGUUAGCCACUGCUACAAACGUCUUCUCUGAUUUCAUCAGGCAGAUCAUGUUCAGGAUCCUCAGGAGCACUUGAAAGAAUAAUCUUUUUCCAUAAAGGGCUGGCUCUGAAAGCCUUGCUUUGUCUGUGCCUCCUGGGCUUACACUGAUAUGUUAAUAUUACGAUCCCAAUGAGAACAGAGACCAGACUCAUUGGUGCCAUUGUGAGGGUCAGGGGGAGAUCAAACAUCUCAAAGUCCCAUUCACAAGACAGAUUUAUUUAUGUUCCUAAGGGUUCCAUAAUUGCCAUCUGAGAAGCUCCAAUUAAAGUGGCAACAUUUCUUCCUUCUGGCAACGUUAUAAGUGUUUUGAUUUUGACCAGUUGUGUCUGAGAAAGAAGGGUGGACUCAAGACUACUAGCUGUCCACCAACGUAUGCUCGCCUAUUCAAAAGUAGUCGACAGUGGCUGGGACAUGAGUAGCCAGACAGACCUCCUGUAUCAGCUUCCCUUGCAGCCUGUUGGAGGAUAAGUCCUUGUAAAAGGGUCUAAGCAAAAGAAAUGUAUGCAGCUUUUUGCCAUGUGUGUUUUAGAGUAAACCUCUGGCCCUGGACUCCUAUUCUCUGUUUCUCCUCACUGAGCACAAAAUCAACAACAGAAAGACUCUGAGGAAUACAUGUUAAAGCUGGCUGGAGUCACUGGAUGUCACCGAACAACAGACUGCAGCAGCACCAUCAGCCUACUCUGGUUACCACCGGUGGACCAUACUCGAUUGCACCUCCUAAUCAAGUCUUUCUAAUUCUUUAACCUCAACUUCCAGAACCAUCCACAAAUACUUCCUUUUCCUCCUUCUUUGGUAUAUGCAUGUACAUAUUUGUGUAUGUGCAGCUGGAGGCCAGAGGGUAAUUCUGGCUGCUGUUUUUCAGCUUUCUUGUUUUAUUAGAUACAAUCUCUUAUUGGCCUGGUGCUUUCCAAGGAGGCUAGACUAGAUGGCCAUUGAAUCCUGGGGAUCUACUUGUCUCCCCUCCCCAGGUGCUGAGAUUGCAAAUACCUGCAGCCAAGCCCAGCCUCUUUCAAAGGCAAGAGCUUCCCUGAGAGCAUCCUUUCUCUCACAGGCAUCCUUUCUCCUCUUUUUUGUAUUUUGUUUAUUUUUCAAGACAGGGUUUCUCUGUGUAGCCCUGGCUCUCCUAGAACUCACUCUGUGGAUCAGGCUGGCCUCGAACUCACAGAGCUACAUCUUCCUCUGCCUCCUGAGUGCAGAAUAAAGGAGUAAAGGCAUGUGCCACUCCCGCCCAGCUCCUUUUCCUCUUUUGACCUUCACAUUAUUAUCUGUCUCUCCUACUUUCUAUGCUUCUAGUUAGUGCUAUUAUACUUUUGUUUUUUAUUUCAUGUGUCCUUCCCCUUACCCCUGUUAUUGUAACCUAAGGUGACUUUGAACUUACUAAGCAGCUGUGGAUGGUCUUGAACUCCUGAUCCUCCUACCUUACCUCCCAAGUGCUAAGAUGGCAAACAUGAACCAUCCCACCCAAUCUCCAUCUUGUCUCUGAAACUUGAAGACUCCUUUAAGAUGGGACACUCUGCUCCUGUUUCCCAGCUAGCACAGCUGUGAUGGAUGCUGGUGAAAACUCUUCAUCUUUGGGGAGUGGUUAUGUCAUCAGCUUAGCGUUGCCCCUUCCCCAGAGACUGGUCCUCAAGCAAAUGUGAGCAUGCUUGGGUGUUGGAGGGAGUAUCUCUCUAAUCGCCAGCAGGCCUAACAUGGUAAAAAAGGGAAGCCACAAAAGGUAGAACUAACUCAGCAGCAAACAUUAGACCCUUCCCUAGGAACUACCCUGUUGCUAAUUCAACCAAGAGCACAUCCCGGUGAGCUUGUUUCUCACUGUGCUCUCCUGCAGUAGCUCAUGGCUGCCGGCCCUCUCCACAGAACUUUCCUCCUCUGACCAGAACCCCCUCACCUCCUCCUCUAGUCUUCCCAUUUGAGCUGCAUGACUUACGAUGAUGAACUAACGGGUCCCCUUACCUCAAAAGAGUGUAUAUUUUGCAGAUACUUUGUGUCCCAGCCACGUAUGACAGUUCCCUGUGCAUCAGACCAAGGCUAGGCACACCCUGAGAUGCGCUUUGUUAGGCUCUUUCCCUCCCCUGUGCAGUUCAUUCUGUCCCUUGCAUGGUUUUCCUGCCAAGCAUCCCUCACCAGGAAACAUCUGUCUUGGGGUCUCCUUCUAACAUCACUGGUCUCAACCCUUUGCUCUCAAAAUGACUUUCUCAAUUAGUCCUGGGGAAUCUCAGAUUUGGCCUGUGCAUGCCACGGGCAUGAUUAAGUGGUUUGUUCUGAAGACACUUGGUCAAGCAUAAGUGAGCUUUUUUGAAACAAUUAUAGGGAAUACCUACUAUGUUAUACUAUUGUGAGACAUUAACACCUGAAUUAAAGACAUGUAAAUCCAUAGGCCGGUGUCUGCUAUAAUGCAGAUGCCCUCAUGGAUUGCUUGCUAACUUAUGCAUGACAUCAUGUUUUGGCAACGCUUACAGUAUAGUAUGUACGCAAUAAAUAUAUCUGGUCCAUAAA